rnacentral:rRNA from 1 species
CCUUAGAGUUCUGGGCCGCACGCGCGCUACACUGACAGAGCCAGCGAGUCUACCACCUUUGCCGGAAGGCAUGGGUAAUCUUGUGAAACUCUGUCGUGAUGGGGAUAGAGCAUUGCAAUUAUUGCUCUUCAACGAGGAAUACCUAGUAAGCGUGAUUCAUCAGAUCGCGUUGAUUACGUCCCUGCCCUUUGUACACACCGCCCGUCGCUACUACCGAUUGAAUGGCUUAGUGAGGCCUCCGGAUUGGCUAUUGGGAGCUCGCGAGAGCACCUGACUGCCGAGAAGUUGUACGAACUUGGUCAUUUAGAGGAAGUAAAAGUCGUAACAAGGUUUCCGUAGGUGAACCUGCGGAAGGAUCAUUAGUGAAUAUUAGGGUGUCCAACUUAACUUGGAGCCCGACCCUCACUUUCUAACCCUGUGCAUUUGUCUUGGGUAGUAGCUUGCGUCAGCGAGCGAAUCCCAUUUCACUUACAAACACAAAGUCUAUGAAUGUAACAAAUUUAUAACAAAACAAAACUUUCAACAACGGAUCUCUUGGCUCUCGCAUCGAUGAAGAACGCAGCGAAAUGCGAUACGUAAUGUGAAUUGCAGAAUUCAGUGAAUCAUCGAAUCUUUGAACGCACCUUGCGCUCCAUGGUAUUCCGUGGAGCAUGCCUGUUUGAGUGUCAUGAAUUCUUCAACCCACCUCUUUCUUAGUGAAUCAGGCGGUGUUUGGAUUCUGAGCGCUGCUGGCUUCGCGGCCUAACUCGCUCGUAAUGCAUUAACAUCCGCCAAUCAAACUUCGGAUUGAUCGCGUAAUAAACUAUUCCCUGAGGAUCUGGUCUCUGACUGGGACCCGGGGGAGAUUAAAGGAGCUACUAAUCCUCAUGUCUAUCUUGGGAUUAGACCCCCAAUCAGGGAGGAAUACCCCCUGAACUUAACCUUUCAUAA